rnacentral:miRNA from 1 species
GACGUCGAAUAUCGACGUCAUAAACGACUAAGUUGAUCGUGUUUAUGACGUCGAAUAUCGACGUCAUAACCACCUAAGUUGAUUGUGUUUAUGACGUCGAAUAUCGAGGUCAAAAACACCAAAGUUGAUCGUGUUUAUGACAUCGAAUAUCGACGAACUUUGAAAAAAAAUUUCAUUUUCUUCCAACCAAUGUUACCCACCAAAGUUGAAUGUGUUUAUGACUUCGAAUACCGACGUCAUAAACAUCUAAGUUGAUCGUGUUUAUGACGUCCAAUAUCGACGUCAUACACACCUAAGUUGAUCGUGUUUAUGGCGUCAAAAAUCGACGUC